UCUUCAGUCGAUCAGCCAUGGACAAAGGUUUGCUGCUGGUCCUGUUGUGUCUGCAGGUCGUCCUGCUCACCACAGCCUUCACUUCUGCUGAUGCAGCCGCUCUGCUGAGAGAUGAUCAGCAUCAACUCCAGGCUGUUUAUCUGAUGAGACGUCUGCAGCAAGUGAAACAAAUAGGAGAAAUGGAGAAGAGACUUCGACUCUGCGCGAGGAAACGAGGAGGAUGUGGUUGGCCAUCAAGCAACGUUUGACCAGUACAUGCUCUCUGAAUAUAGACGUCUAGAGUCAAGCUCUGCAGGAAGUGCCAUCAGAUGUAGAAGAUAGCAAAUGAAUGAAGAUAAUUGUAAUGCUUAUUAAAAAUGCAAAUGCUUUUAAUUAGAAAUAAAAGAUUUCAAAUUAGA